UCCCCGUUGCCGGGGCAGUCUACCUAGAAAAAUACAACUAAGUACAAGGGUUGCGCUCGUUAAUGGACUUAACCAAACAUCUCACGACACGAGCUGACGACGGCCAUGCAUCAUCUGUCACUUGGUUCAAUAAAGCACUCUCUGCUUUCGCAGAAAUUCCAAGGAUGUCAAACCCUGGUAAGGUUCUUCGUUUAUCAUCGAAUUAAAGAACACGAUCCACCGCUUGUGCGGGUCCCCGUCAAUUCCUUUGAGUUUUAGCCUUGCGGCCGUACUCCCCAGGCGGGGCACUUAAUGCGUUAGCGACGGCGCGGAUCUCGUUGGUUGAGACCCACACCUAGUGCCCAACGUUUACGGCGUGGACUAC
rnacentral:misc_RNA from 1 species